rnacentral:rRNA from 1 species
AUUGAACGCUGGCGGCAUGCCUUACACAUGCAAGUCGAACGGUAACAGGUCUUCGGAUGCUGACGAGUGGCGAACGGGUGAGUAAUACAUCGGAACGUGCCCGAGAGUGGGGGAUAACGAGGCGAAAGCUUUGCUAAUACCGCAUACGAUCUCAGGAUGAAAGCAGGGGACCGCAAGGCCUUGCGCUCACGGAGCGGCCGAUGGCAGAUUAGGUGGUUGGUGGGAUAAAAGCUUACCAAGCCGACGAUCUGUAGCUGGUCUGAGAGGACGACCAGCCACACUGGGACUGAGACACGGCCCAGACUCCUACGGGAGGCAGCAGUGGAGAAUUUUGGACAAUGGGCGCAAGCCUGAUCCAGCCAUGCCGCGUGCAGGAUGAAGGCCUUCGGGUUGUAAACUGCUUUUGUACGGAACGAAAAGACUCUGGUUAAUACCUGGGGUCCAUGACGGUACCGUAAGAAUAAGCACCGGCUAACUACGUGCCAGCCGCCGCGGUAAUAC